AGCUCCAACAGCGUAUAUUAAAGUUGUUGCGGUUAAAAGCUCGUAGUUGGACUUCUGCUGAGGAUGACCGGUCCGCCCUCUGGGUGAGCAUCUGGUUUAGCCUUAGCAUUUUCUUGGGCAGCGCUAUUGCACUUGACUGUGUGGUGUGGUAUCCAAGGCUUUUACUUUGAGGAAAUCAGAGCGCUUCCAGCAGGCAUAUGUCUUGAAUACAUUAGCAUGGAAUAAUAAGAUAAGACUUUAUUUUUAUUUUGUUGGUUUUUAGAAUUGAGGUAAUGAUUGAUAGGGAUAGUUGGGGGGCAUUUGUAUUUAACUGUCAGAGGUGAAAUUCUUGGAUUUGUUAAAGACAAACUACUGCGAA
rnacentral:rRNA from 1 species